AGUGAACGCUGGCGGUAGGCCUAACACAUGCAAGUCGAACGGCAGCACAGUAAGAGCUUGCUCUUACGGGUGGCGAGUGGCGGACGGGUGAGGAAUACAUCGGAAUCUACUUUUACGUGGGGGAUAACGUAGGGAAACUUACGCUAAUACCGCAUACGACCUACGGGUGAAAGCAGGGGAUCUUCGGACCUUGCGCGAUUGAAUGAGCCGAUGUCGGAUUAGCUAGUUGGCGGGGUAAAGGCCCACCAAGGCGACGAUCCGUAGCUGGUCUGAGAGGAUGAUCAGCCACACUGGAACUGAGACACGGUCCAGACUCCUACGGGAGGCAGCAGUGGGGAAUAUUGGACAAUGGGCGCAAGCCUGAUCCAGCCAUACCGCGUGGGUGAAGAAGGCCUUCGGGUUGUAAAGCCCUUUUGUUGGGAAAGAAAAGCAGCAGGUUAAUACCCCGCUGUUCUGACGGUACCCAAAGAAUAAGCACCGGCUAACUUCGUG
rnacentral:rRNA from 1 species